rnacentral:tRNA from 1 species
ACGCCCGUCGCGGAGAGCAGCUUGCCCUCGUGGUCGCUCUCGGUGACCACGAGCUGGCCGCGCAGCGCGUUCUUGAGCGUGGCGAGGGAGGCGUUC